AUGUUGCCACCUGAGUCCUUUAUGAAGCAAGAGUCCCUCAAUAAGGAAAAUCUGGCUUCCAGCAGCCCAAGUAGCUUGAUUACCUUAUAUGGACUGACUCGAGACUAGCCAAUCAACUAAGAUGAGCCCAACUGCAGCUGAGUAGCCCCUAACGCCUUCAAUUUUGCCUCACAACUUGGAUUGAGGAGAAAGAUUUGAGAGUCUUGGCUUCUGUCUCUUUGCCGGUAGACCUUGUAAUAAAGCCUUUUCUUUUCUCAAAAGCUGGUGCCAUCGUAUUGGCUUCCGUGUACGUCAGAUAGUGAACCCUUGCCCAGUAAGUUUAGCGAUGAGCUCCCUGAUAAAAUUAAAGGUAUUCGGGUUAUUUUGGUUGACUGGAAAUAUUUUGAAAGCAUCUCCCAGUUUUGUAUAAACGCAGUCUAAGAAUCCAAUGAAGCCUCUAAGCUUUUCUCUCAAAUAUGAAUCACAAGGUUGGAUCCCUAAACGGUCCAAGUAUCCCACUGUGGAAGAUUUCUCGAUGCCAGAGUCAACUAUAAGGCACAGAACCUUGCCUAUGGAAAUCUGUUGUAUCUGCCACAAGGAUUGGAGCUUCUGAGAGAACAAAUUCAGGCCUGGUUUUCUAAUUAUGACAACAUGCAGAGGGAAAACAUCUGUGCUGUCAGAGCUGAACAGCCGCAGCGGCUCUUGGUCUGUGAAUAGGCUAAAACUGUCCCAGUUCUUCAAAGCUCCAUAUUUUCAAGACAUGGUGAAAUUACCAGUUAAGAAGACUUGCUUUGAGACCUCCACCCUCUAAGAAGAGAUGCUCAAGCCAUGAAGAGAUACCCUAGAAAAUGAGAUGCCUCAUGGAGAAAGAGAGGCCAAAGAGGCUAAAUAUUCCCUAAUGCAGUGAAGAAGCGCCUGCAAAGUAUUACCACCAUCUCUAAUCGCUCCAGCUGACACUAUGAAUCUCAGAUUGGACUUUUAAAAGCCUCCUGAGGCUAAGAAGCCAAGCAAAGGACUCACCAUCAGUCUUUGCCUGAAAUAUCUAUGGAUCUGGGUGAAGUCGUCUCUUCUUGGGAUCUCCAAAAUAUCCCUAACUCAUCUGUUGUAGGCAGAAUAAUGGACCCCAAAGAUACCCACAGCCUAAUCUUCAAAACCUGUGAAUAUGUUGCCUUCCAAGGCAGAAGAGACUUCACAGGUAUGAAAAACAUGAAAAGAUUAUCCCGUAUUAUUCAGAUGUUCCGAAUUUAAUUACAUAAAUCCUUAAAAAGCAGAGAACUUUUCCAGUUGCAAACAAUCAGAGAGAUGGCAGCACAAGAAAGAUUCAACCUACUCUUGUUGCCUUUGAAGACAGAGAAAAGGAAGCCAUGAGCCAAGAGAUGCGGGAGACCACUAGAAGCUGGCAAAUUCAAGGAAAUAUUCUUCCCUAGAGCCUCUGGAAGGAACAUAGCCGACGACAUCUUGAUUUUAACCCAGUGAAAUUAUGUCAGACUUCUGAUCCAGAUAACUAUAAGAUAAUUAAUCUGUAUUGUUUAAUCUACCAUGUUUGUGGUAAUUUGUUAUGACAGCAAUAGAAAAUAAAUACUCUCACAACCUUCACAAAUGCCACACAUACACACAUACCCCUCCACUCUCACAUAGUGUAAUCUAAUAUUGUCUAGAAAUAGAUGGAACAUAAGUACCUAAGGGAGACAAUGGAAUUGUUUGACUUGAGAAAAAUGGCCUACUUUUGAAAAUGAAGAAAAAGCAAAUUAUUAAAGUAAAAGAGGUUAAUCUGUUUUCAUUAUUUCUUUAUCUUUGG
rnacentral:lncRNA from 1 species